GCAAGUCGAGCGGUAACAGGAAGUAGCUUGCUACUUCGCUGACGAGCGGCGGACGGGUGAGUAAUGCAUAGGAAACUGCCCAGUAGUGGGGGAUAGCCCGGGGAAACCCGGAUUAAUACCGCAUACGCCCUUUGGGGGAAAGCAGGGGAUCUUCGGACCUUGCGCUAUUGGAUGUGCCUAUGUCGGAUUAGCUAGUUGGUGGGGUAAGAGCCUACCAAGGCGACGAUCCGUAGCUGGUCUGAGAGGAUGAUC
rnacentral:rRNA from 1 species